rnacentral:tRNA from 1 species
GGUCCUGGAGGACUAGUGGUUAGGCCACAGCACUCUCACUGCUGUGGCCCAGGUUCAAUUCCUGGCCUACCC